CAUGUGUACCGACGUUAAGUUACACACUUGCUCACCGCGAGUGUGUGCUUAUUCAAACCUACACACCAUUGUCCAACCAAUGAGUAAACCAAACUCUGAAGCUAUGGCUGCUGUUAAUCGGCAGUCUUAACAAAGAACAACUCUCAACAACGGAUAUCUUGGCUCUCGCAACGAUGAAGAACGCAGCGAAAUGCGAUACGUAGUGUGAAUUGCAGAAUUCCGUGAACCAUCGAAUCUUUGAACGCAUAUUGCGCUCAACUCCUCGGAGAAGAGCAUGUCUGCCUCAGCGUCGGUUUUACCCCUCACCCCUCUUGCUUGUUUACAAGCAAGCUUGUCGUGUGUGCUUACACCGGCAUUAGGAGUGGAUCUGGCCCUCCCAAUCGGUGCAAAUCGGUUGGGUUGGCUGAAGCACAGAGGCUUAAACUAGGACCCGUAUCGGGCUCAACUGGAUAGGUAGCAACACCUUUGGGUGCCUACACGAAGUUGUGUCUGAGGACCUGGUUAGGAGCCAAGCAGGAAACACGCUUCACGGCGUGUAUCAUGUUUUCGACCUGAGCUCAGGCAAGGCUACCCGCUGAACUUAAGC
rnacentral:rRNA from 1 species